ACGCGUGGAACCUUACCAGGUCUUGACAUCCCAUUGACCGCUAUGGAGACAUAGCUUUCCCUUCGGGGACAGUGGUGACAGGUGGUGCAUGGUUGUCGUCAGCUCGUGUCGUGAGAUGUUGGGUUAAGUCCCGCAACGAGCGCAACCCUUGUUCUUAGUUGCCAUCAUUUAGUUGGGCACUCUAAGGAGACUGCCGGUGACAAACCGGAGGAAGGUGGGGAUGACGUCAAAUCAUCAUGCCCCUUAUGACCUGGGCUACACACGUGCUACAAUGGACGGUACAAACGGCUGCCAACCCGCGAGGGGGAGCUAAUCCGAUAAAACCGUUCUCAGUUCGGAUUGUAGGCUGCAACUCGCCUACAUGAAGCCGGAAUCGCUAGUAAUCGCGGAUCAGCAUGCCGCGGUGAAUACGUUCCCGGGCCUUGUACACACCGCCCGU
rnacentral:rRNA from 1 species